ensembl:lncRNA
CAGGUGAGCAGUGAAGUGACUCAGUUACACCUCGAUUCAUCCUUUUCAUUUGAGGAGAGCUCCUGGUGCUGCACCGUGGGUCCUUGCUGAAAAUCUGCCUGAUACAUAGCGGUGUGUGUAUCUGACUCUCAAGCUCCUAAUUUAUCCCUCCCUGCUCCCCCUCCCCCGACCAUGUUUCCCCUUUGUUAAGUUUGUUUUUGAUAUCUGUAAAUCUGUUUCUAUUUUGUAAAUAAGUUCAUUUGUAUCAUUUACAAAAUCAGACUCUAUGCAUAAGUGAUUCUACAUAUGAUAGAUUGUACGUAUGAUAUUUGUCUUUCUGUCUGACUUUUUUCACUUAGUAUGAUAAUCUCUGGGUCCAUCCAUGUUGCUGCAAACAGCAUCAUUUGUUCUGUUUGACUGGCUGAGUAAUACUCUGUCGUAUGUAUGUACGGCCUCUUCUUUUAUCCAUUCGUCUGCUGAUGGACAUUUCUGUCGCCAUGUCUUGCUUGUGUAUCUUUCUGAAUUACAGUUCGGAUGUAUCUCCAGGAGGAGCGUUCCCUUUUCUCCACAUCCUCUCCAGAACGUACUGUUUGUAGAGUUUUUGAUGCUGGCUUCUGACAGGACGGUUGGCAACGUCUGGGAACAUUUGGGGGUGUCACACAGGUGUGGUGUGAGUCGCGUGGCAUCAAGUGAGCCGAGGCCAGGCUGCCCGUCACCACGCUGCCUCCUUCAGCAUCACCGUGCGACACCCUGCUUUGCAUGGGACAGCUCCACGCAGCCAAGAAUUAUCCAACUCCAAACUGAGCUUGAGAAGCCCCAGGACAGACUGGGUCAAUGGUGUAACAACACGCUUCCUCCUGAGCGACUUCUGAGGAGGAACUAACCUCCCUGGAGCUGCCGGUCUCCAUGCUCUGUACACCCAGCUGCUGUGUGAACAGGCCACUCUCAAAGCUAGAAGGACCACAGAGAGUGAGAAAUACGAGGGCAGAGAUUCUCUAACCAGUCACCCCCGUGGUCAUUUUGCCAAAGUGUAUGUUUAUUGACCAAUUACAGCAGAGAUUUACAGAGUAGAAUUAUGCUUUCACUGAAGUAAGGCCAAUACCCUUCCCUCCCAAGCCACCAGUGAGCUCUGUGACCAGGGACAAAGUCAGCUAAUAGAGCCGGGUGUUCACGGGGGCCUGGGAUUUAUACUUUAAUUGUUUCCACGGCUCCCUGUCUCACGGAGGUAUUUGUCUUGGUACAUGGACACCAACAGUGUGCCAUAACAUUACACAGAGGAUUGUGAGGGUUUUUUUUUUUUAAUUAUUAUUUCAUCUGUAAUUAUAGGCAAGACCAGUUUAUUAUUGAGAAAUCCUUGAAAACAUUUUAAUUGAAAUGGUCAGCAGCCUUUCACUGAUCCAGUCCCACAAUAGACCCUGGCAACCUAAGUGUGUCCAACUAAUGGAUUAAGAAGGAGAGUCCCUGUUCUAAACCAGAGCAUAAGUGUUAUUUAAAAUUUUGGAUUUAAGUGUUUUUUUUUUUUUUUUUAAGAUUUAUGGCACAGUUGAAAUGAGGUCAAGUAGAAGCACUAAAGAAUUUAAUUAGAAAUGUCUUCGCAUGCCCCCCUCCUCUCUGUAAACCCUGCAUAGGUUGUCUCUGGAG